UACAGAGGGUGCAAGCGUUGUUCGGAAUUAUUGGGCGUAAAGCGUGCGCAGGCGGCUUUGCAAGACAGAUGUGAAAUCCCCGGGCUUAACCUGGGAACUGCAUUUGUGACUGCAUGGCUGGAGUGCGGCAGAGGGGGAUGGAAUUCCGCGUGUAGCAGUGAAAUGCGUAGAUAUGCGGAGGAAUACCGGUGGCGAAGGCGGCAUCCUGGACCGACAUUGACGCUGAACGGCGAAAGCUAGGGGAGCAAACGGG
rnacentral:rRNA from 1 species